rnacentral:lncRNA from 1 species
AUGGAGUUUUACCUCAACACUCUGAUAGACCAGCAGUGCCUUCUGCAUGGGCUGCUGAUGCAGCAGUUGGCAUGGACAUCGGAGAAAAGAUUCAGAGGAUGGAAACUACAAACACUGGGACAUGAAAAAAAUACCACUAAAGCAGCUGAACAUGCUGACGGCAACCUCAAAAUGACUUUUUUGCCAGUUUUUGCUAAAUUACACAUCUUUCCAAAGACAUCCUACAUCAAUCAGCAUUCAGAUUCAACAAGACUAAUAUGGGCCAAGACAACUGUCAGGCAUGCUCAUGUAUUUAGCACAUGUAACUCCCACUACAAACCUUUGGAGUAGGCUUGAUUCCCACAGUAACCCAGCUGAGAACUGGCUUUGCUUUCUUGCUUUGGAGUCAUAGCAUCUCGUAUAUGCCAAUUGACCUGUAUUAGACAAGGAUUUUGUUUUGCUUUGUUUUUCUUACUGCUUUUUAACCAUAAAACCCAGGCAGACAUAAGCAACGGUUCUCCACCUGGGGUGAUUUGACCCUAUUGUUUACCUCUUUUAUUUUUUUAUUGAAGUACAGUUAAGAUAUUAUAUGAGUUUUAGGUAUACAACAUAUUGAUUCAAUAUUUUUAUAGAUUAUACUUCAUUUAAAGCUAUUAUAGAAUAUUGGCUAUUUUCUCCAUGGCGAUAUGUCUUUGCAGCUUAUUUAUUUUAUAGUUAGUAGUUUGUACUUUUUUUUCACUAGCCACAUCCACAGCAUAUGCAAACUCCUGGGCCAGGGAUUGCAACCUAUACUGCAGCAGUGCUGAAUCCUUUCACCCACUGUGCCAGGCCUGGGGUCAAAUCCAUGUCUCCACAGCUGGAGCCACUGCAGUCAGAUUAUUAACCCAUUUUGCCACAGAGGGAACUCCAGUAGUUUGUAUUUUUAAACCCCUACUCCUAGCUUACCACCCCUCCAUCGCUUCCCUCUCAAUACUGAAUCACCAGUUCAUUCUCUAUAGUUGUGAAUCUGUUUGUAUUUUGCAAUGUUCAUUCAUUGUUUAUUUUUUAUAUUUUUAAGAUAUUGCUUUUAUUUUUUAUUUAAUUAGUUUAUUUUUAUUAUAAUUGAUUUAGAAUGUUCUAUCAAUUUCUGCUGUACAGCAAAGCGACCCAGUCAUACAUAUAUAUAUGUGUGUGUGUGUGUGUACACAUUCUUUUUCUCAUUCUUUUUAUCCUUGAGAAUAUGAUAUAAACUGAUUAGAACCAAGUAGGCCCAAGAUGGCAGAUCUAGUUCAGUGGAAUCCUAGAUCAAUGGAAGAGGAUAGAAAGCCCAGAAAUAAACCACAUAUUUAUGGUCA